rnacentral:rRNA from 1 species
UUAGGGGAUUCUUGCGGAUAGGACGAAAGUCUGACGCAGCGACGCCGCGUGCGGGAUGAAGGCCCUCGGGUUGUAAACCGCUUUCAGCAGGGACGCGGUACCUGCAGAAGAAGCCCCGGCCAACUACGUGCCAGCAGCCGCGGUAAUACGUAGGGGGCUGGCGUUGUCCGGAUUUAUUGGGCGUAAAGAGCUCGAAGGUGGUUCGGUUAGUCGGAUGUGAAAUCUCCAGGCUCAACCUGGAGGGGUCAUUCGAUACUGCCGGACUAGAGUUCGGUAGAGGAGUGUGGAAUUCCUGGUGGAUCGGUGAAAUGCGCAGAGAUCAGGAGGAACACCCGUAGCGAAGGCGGCACUCUGGGCCGAUACUGACACUGAGGAGCGAAAGCGUGGGGAGCGAAC